UGAAUCCAGCCACUGAAACACCCAGGAGAUGGUGCUCUUGGAUCAGAGAUCGGUGCAGUGCUGACCCAGAGGCAUCCUCGAACGCAGCCCUCCGUUUUCCCUUUGUGUUGCAUGCUCUUCUUUGGGGUUCCCAUUUUCUUUGGGGAGAAGAAUGUGACGAUGUUGAAUCCGGAGCACGCUCCCAUCUGAUCCAUAAUGCGAUUUCCAGCCUGGUGAUCCUACGCCUCUGCCUGAAAUGACGCUGGUGCUCGUAGGAGGUGUUUUUCUCUGGACUGUGAGACUAGUGAGAUACUGAAGCUGAGCACGGAGCAGAUUUGCAUCUGAUUGCCCUGAUUGGAGCCUGGGACGCGCUGUGCCCAAGCCAAGCAUCUGAGGGGUGCCAGCUCCAUUGCUGCCAGGGCUGGGAAUACGCAGCUGUACGCGUGGCUCCCUGGGGCCUCCUGGCUGGGACAGCCUUUCACCACUGACACGUGUCUUGGAGUGCCAAGGUCACAGCCAAAAGUUGUCUCCGAUGAAGAUCUGACUGCAACUGAGCAAGCUGCUCAUGAAGAGAGGUCUAAAUGAAACAGCAUGUGAAAAGUGUGGUUUAACCUCUCCACACCUACAACCAAGUGCCUUGUCUUCCUGUGCCUUCUGUGACACAUCCUGUUCCAGAACACAGAAACUUACUUGGGCAGGCACUGAAAGAGAAUCAGUAUGCAACCAUAAAGAAUUUGCUUUUAAAAACUGCAUCCUUCCUACUGAAAUGAAGAAAGGUAGAAUUUUCUGUAAAGUGCAGCAUUGAAAUAGGAAGACAUAUCCCCACUUGGAAAGUGCUGAGCUACUGGGAAGCUAUAGCGUGUUUACGGACUCGGCUUUCUGAGCAAUCUCCAGAGCUUGAAGAGAUUACAGUGAUAUUUUAACAAGGCUGCUGGCAUCCAUCACCGGCUUUUACUUACUGAGAAGGCUGAAGGAUGGAAGAAUGCAAUUAUUUCCAUGUUAACUAAAUAUUAGUGGCAGAUUGUCAUGGGAACUUCAACUUCUUCAUCUCCUGCCAGGUGCACAGUCCCUCUGAUGACGCCACAAAUCUGGGAAUGAAGAACUUCUUCGACCUGAUUGGAAAUGGCAUUGCGGAGCUGAAACUUAACUGGAGGAAACAUAGCUCCCGAAGAAGGAAAUAUAAUGCACUUUAAAGAUCUGACUUCUGGUGAAAAAUUCAAGCCUAGAGAAAACUUGUCCGCUUUGUUCAGAAGAAUGGGUUGGACAAUUUUCUUCAGUUCCACAGGAUAUCUGAGUGCCAUGCUGAGCUUGAUCUCUGCAGCAUGCUCUGUGCUUCUCAUCUCUUCCUGAUGCACUGCAUGAUUAUCCUGAAGGGGAGGAUAAAGAAACUGGCCACCAAGAUGGUAAUCACUAGUGGAAAUGAAGAAGAUAAAGGCAGUCAAGAAAAGGAAAGCAAAGAAGAAACCAUCUUGGCAAUGCUUGGAAUUAUUGGGACAAUUCUGAACCUCAUUGUGAUCAUUUUUGUGUACAUUUACACAACGUUGUAAACUAGCAGGCAUGCAAAUAGAACAGAUAAAACGGCCAUUAAGAGUGACAACAAACAUUGCUGACUAUUGACAAGUUGUUUAAUCAGAAUUGACUCUGUAUUAUAUUAACACAUCAUAAAAGCACUGCCUGCAGGCAGCGAAGGCUGAAGCACAAUUAAUUUAACAAGACUUCUUCACGCAGUAACAAGCUAAACUCUUCUGUCCUGCCCUCUUCCUUUCGCUUUGGUUUUCGGUUUGGGGGAAACAUGACUGCAAUUAUGUAAGUUGUAGCUUUGAAGAAAUCCACCCGGGUUAUGUUAUUUUAACACAAUUUAAAAAGAGGGGAAAAAAAAGAAAAAAAAAAAAAAGAAACUGUACACUAUAUACAAUUAAAAAUGUAUACUGUAUACCUGCAAAGAUGGAGCUCUAUGAUAGCUACAUAGCACAGAUCACGUGUCCGUUAGGUCAAAUGAUAUUUUUUCUCUUGGUUUAUGCUUUUACUUACAUCGAAUCUGACAGGCUUUUUGUUUAGAAUGAACAUAUGGUGCAAUCAUGAAAAAAAAAAAAAA